CUUUGAUGUGCUUUUUUAAGACAUUUAUUUGGGUACCCUUUAGAUUUAAAAUGGGACCUGAGGGUUUGGGCUUUUAUCUUAAAGUCCUCAUGAGAGAAGCAAUUCCUUCUUAAUCUGAGGUAUUGGCCUGUUGGUAUCCCUCUCUUCAAUGCGGGGGGAUGAUAGCUCUCCCAGUUAAGAAAAUUAUUAGUUGCUGUAGGUUUCUUAUAGAGUGUGGUAGAUAUAUAGUUGUUAUGUGUGGUCUCUAGGGUAAUAUCAAGAAAAUUAAGUUUAUGUCCACCAACCUCAUGGGUAAAUCUAAGGUUGAUGACAUUGACAUUUAGUUCCUCCACAAAACUAUUGAACAGGUCCUCAGGGCCUGUCCAAACUAUCAAGACAUCGUCGAUAUAGCAUUUCCAGAGGUUGACAUAUUCUGUAUAUUUGGUAAGUUGUGGACUGAAGACCACAUUUUUUUCCCACCAACCUAAGUGAAGAUUGGCAUAAGAGGGGGCACACGUUGUCCCCAUGGCAGUGCCCUUCACUUGGUGGUAGUACUUGCCUCUAAACAGGAAAUAAUUGUGUGUAAGAAUGAA